rnacentral:rRNA from 1 species
AGAGUUUGAUCAUGGCUCAGAUUGAACGCUGGCGGCAGGCCUAACACAUGCAAGUCGAACGGUAGCACAGAGAGCUUGCUCUUGGGUGACGAGUGGCGGACGGGUGAGUAAUGUAUGGGGAUCUGCCCGAUAGAGGGGGAUAACUACUGGAAACGGUAGCUAAUACCGCAUACGCCCUACGGGGGAAAGCAGGGGACCUUCGGGCCUUGCGCGAUUGGAUAUGCCCAGGUGGGAUUAGCUAGUUGGUGAGGUAAUGGCUCACCAAGGCGACGAUCCCUAGCUGGUCUGAGAGGAUGAUCAGCCACACUGGAACUGAGACACGGUCCAGACUCCUACGGGAGGCAGCAGUGGGGAAUAUUGCACAAUGGGGGAAACCCUGAUGCAGCCAUGCCGCGUGUGUGAAGAAGGCCUUCGGGUUGUAAAGUACUUUCAGCGGGGAGGAAGGCGAUAAGGUUAAUAACCUUGUCGAUUGACGUUACCCGCAGAAGAAGCACCGGCUAACUCCGUGCCAGCAGCCGCGGUAAUUC